GCCAGCCUGGUGCAAUGGUUUGCGCAGUGGACUAGGACAUCAAGAGACCAGGGUUCAAAUCCCUGCUCUGCCA